GUACAGACUGCUGCCACGCCGGCUGGCUAGGUCACUCUGAAAUGGACAAUCAGAAUGAUCACCACAUAAAAGCAGGUGACUUGAGCGUGGAGGAGACAAAGGUAUGAAUAGGGAGCUUCCUACAAGUUGUAGGGUACCACAUACCUCACCCUGAAGCAAACCUUUGCUACAAAUUGGAAGCCAACCUACUUAAGAGCCUUCAUCCAGCAGCUGAUGGAAGUAGAAGCAGACACCCACAGCUAAACACUGAACUGAACUCUGGAAUCCAUUUGCAGAGAAGGAGGAGUGAUGAGCAAAGUGGACAAGACCAGGCUGGAGAAACCCACAGAAACAGCUGACCCAAACAAGGGGGAGCUCAUUCCUGAUUGCUAGGAAACCAGAAUAGGACUGAUCCAGAUCCCCUGAAUGUGGGUGUCAGUGAGAAGGCCUCAGCAAUCUAUGGGGCCUCUGGUAGUAGGUCAGUAUUUAUCCCUAGCAUAGGAAUGGACUUUGGAAGCCCAUUCCACACAGAGGGAUACUCUCUCAGCCUAGACACACGGGGGAGGGCCUAGGCCCUGGUCCAAAGGCUAUGACAGACUCUGAAGGUCCCCCAUG
rnacentral:lncRNA from 1 species